GGAGAGAUGUCCGAGCGGUUGAAGGAGGCGGUCUUGAAAACCGUUGAGAUGCGAGUCUCCGGGGGUUCGAAUCCCUCUCUCUCCG
rnacentral:tRNA from 1 species